AUGUUAGAGUGAUUGAAUCGAUUAGGGAACAGCCUGCGAGGAGCUGUCUUGACUUCACGAUGACAGGUCACCUGAGCCAUGAAACUAGUCGCUCUGCCUGCUGCCAUAAAAGCAGUUCGAACUAUGACAAUAAUUGCCUGCCUGCCCAUUUCCAGGUGUCCCAAACAGGGCAGCCUGGAUUGUUCGACGCUGGACAAGACGCACAUCCUGAUAGGACGCAAUAUGGCGCAGUGGAAAGAGUCGUUGAGUGGCGAGAUCAACUUGCCUGAUCACAUCCAGCAGGACAGCAACGGGCAAGUGGCUCUCAAAGUUCAACGAGCCCAUCAGCGCUUCGUCUCUUGGUCUCAAGAUUCUCCAAACAAUCCUUGCCCAGAAGCGGUGAGGCUAAUUCACUCGCAAAGCGGCCAUUUCGGCAGUGGUGGCGAUGUUGACAAGGUCAAUACGAGCGGAGAACACGGGCCUUUGGUUUCGCCAUUUAUCCCGCGUCAGCGCCUCCUAUGGGCCACGGUCAGCCGUGACCAGGAAUGGGUCAUGUGGAUGUACAACUUCAACAAGGACAGUUACGAGUCGUUGAUUAAGCAGUGCAACAGUCUGGCUCAGUGGCAUAACGCCCGCUGGGCUUUGCUCUCCAGCAUCGUUGCCCAUAAAUUGGGUCUCUUCCACAAUCAGCAGUGCUCCGGCAGAGUCCACGCCCACCAAACUCUGCGCAACAAUCCGUUUCUGGUCCUGUCGGAAAUGGAAGCCUUGGUCAAGCUGCACGUCCCGCCCGCCUCACGCGAUUAUAACGCCGGCUCCAGCCGUAAGCCCAGUCAGUCCAGUUUGCCUCACUUGGCUCAUCUGGAGACUUUUAGGGAUAGCAAACCAGCCAGACUGCUGAGCAAUACGCCUUACGGGAAUCAAGGAGAUCUGGUGACUCGGCAGGGUCAGCAAUGGAUCGAGAAGAGAUAUUCCGAACGUCGGGAAGAAAUGCAACGGCUGCUGGUGCUGUUUCCGGCGCGAUCUUCGGGAAAUAAUAUUUCGAUUACUGAAGAUAUUAUCCAGCUGUUCAAACAAGUAGCGAGAAUCAUUCACUACUGCUUCACGCCGCUUCUCUUCCUGCCGAAGUGGCGACUUCAGGUGGCCAGAACUCGGGAUCCUAACAUGGACAUGAUUACGCUUUCAUCAACCAACGAAUUUUUAAAAUAUCGGCCGAGACACGAGUCUGGAAAUUCCAUCAACAGUGGCGGCCGGAACAGUCCCAGAAAUUCGCCUCCUUGCCAACCUAGAAGACCGACAGAUGAUCACUGGCACCAGUCGUUGUGUUCUGCCUAUUUACAAGAAUACGUGCAAUAUCUCCACACACUGGGCUUCUUGCAGAUGGAAAUCAAACCUUUGGCUACCAAACGGGGCCCUAAAAGCGCUAUGAAAAGUCAAAGACUCGCUGGAGAUGAGACGGGUAGAGUUCGUCAUGUUUCGCAUCCUUCGCGAAUUAAUGGCGGUCCUAGUCCAUCGUCGCCAUCAUCUUCUUCCAAUUCCGACGUCAAUACGCUUUAUUUUCACAAAUCUCAUCAAGGUGGAAUCCUGGUGUGCGAAGUUGCCAUUCAAGAACCUUUUUUCUACACCAAAGUCUACGCGUUGGAAAUGUCCCGGCUGUUGCAAGUCGGUACGGGCGGAUCUUUUCCUAACGUGGCGCACAUCGCAUCGGCCCAAGCGCAUUACACCGAUCGCUUUCUCAAUGAAUGCGAUCACAUCAAAGUUCUACUUCACUUGCACUCGUUCACGUACGACUUCCACCUUCGCAGUCUCAACUCAUUCGUCGCUGGCCGUCAUUACCUAUUGAAACCCGGUUUCCAUUUAAUCAGCUUCUUGGACGAUUUUAACAAAUAUUACAACAAGGCUCCUAACUUUGCCAGAAAUCAAGUUGUGAGAAACAGUCUGACACUCAAAGAUCCUGCAACUCCGGGUGAACAGCUGUUCAAUUAUCUGUUGAGUCACGAGCGCCGUUACGGGUUCCACGUCCUCAGGAUGGCUUCUUCGACCAACUCGGACAGUGAUGAAGUCACGACGGAGUAUGUUUUAGCGAAACAGUGGCCCUUCAAAACCAUACAACGGGAAUAUGGUGAUCUCAAACACGCGGAUGACUAUGACGUGACGUUGCUGGUGUCCCACGAAUCGGUCUGCGAAGAUCCAAUGACCAUUUUAAUCAAAUUUUACGUCAUCAUGACCUAAAAGCGGGAAUACUAUCCCAGAUUGUUGAUGGAGAAGAAACCAGGCAAAUUCCGGACCGUGUCUACGGCGACUCCGGUUAAGGCGGCCUCAGCACCCCCAUUGGAAAUAGUCAAUCGUGUGGCGGAGGAUUCCGUCUCGGCUGCCCAGGAUGAUUCAACCCAAGUCGUCGAGAAAGAGCCAGCCUCUGUCGACCAACCAAAGAUUUCCAAGAGCAAUUUAGAUUUACAGUUGGCGGAUAAAGAAAGGAAAACGCCAACUCCCGAGCUGCUGUCGGUCAGUAAUCCUGAGGUGAGCUUCGCUCA